AUGGAUAGUGCUAUCUUAUGUUGGAAUGUAAGGGGCCUGAACAACCCUGCUAGGCGUCGUGUUGUUGCUGGUGUUGCUCGUGACCACCGAUGUAAGCUUGUAUUCCUACAAGAGACUAAAUUGGAUUCUUUCUCCAAUAGUAUCAUUGCCGAAACCUUGGACUCCUCCUUUGUGGACAAUUUCGUCUAUCUUCCUGCUGAUGGCACUAGAGGGGGCAUCCUCAUUGCAGCCUCUCCGACUACUUCAAAGUUAGUCCACAACCUAGUUUGCAAGGGAUCUUCUCUGUCUCUGCCCUGA
rnacentral:rRNA from 1 species